GCCGCUGGGCGCAGGCCCCAGGCCGCGCGCUCUCUGCUCCGCGCCGACCCCUUUCCAGGCCUCCUCCUCUGGCGGGAGCAGGGGGACCAGCGGGGCUGGGGAAGGGGAACAGCAUUUGCUGAUCACCUACUGGGUGCUUAACACUCUGCGAAGGACCCUCUGAGGAGGGGGUUGCUAGCAUGCGAAUCUCCGUGUAGACCAGGAGAGGGCUCUUGCGGUGGGGAACUUUGAGGGGCCCUCUCUGGAGACCUGGGAGCUCCGAGGGUCCCCCUUGUAGCCUGUAUCCCCCAGGGUGAAGGGGCCGCUGGACAAAGACCUGACGGAGUGGGAGGGGCCUGCUGGCCGGCCCUCGGGCUCCGGACGCUGGAUCCUUCUGGGACCUGAACCCGCAAACCCCGGCUCCCCACCCCCAGGCCUGCAGACGCCCCCCGAGCCGGCUGUUCGCUUUCGCUCAAGCCUCCGCACCAGAGGGGGCUGCGAGGCGGGUGCCCGUCGCCGCCGGGCGGAGAUCCCCGGCUCUGCCGCCCCCUCCCCCCGGGAAGUGACCCUCGCCUCCCACGUACCCGCUAGGGUCUCCCGCCGGCCCUGCCCUCCGACCCCAGCCGAGGUGAAACCCGCGAUCCGCAGCCCCCUCCCUCUCCGGCCCUCCCCGGCCCCGCACUAGCGGACAAAGCUCCGGACACCCGGACCAAACGGUCACCUCCCCCAACCCCGGACCCCGGCAGGUCCGCGGUCCCGUACCUCGGCAUCCCGGCCGGGUCCUAGGCUUCAUCAGGGACAAAGCCCAGGAACCCACUUUGUCCCAGGAGAAGAUAGAAGGGGGCCGUGCUGAUGAUGGAGGGUCUGGAGAACCUUCCUGAUGUGGAGCCUCCAGAUGUCCCAAGGCUAUGGUGUUUCCACCCAAGGGCAGUGCUUAAGGGUCCUCUCUCCUGAGGGCUUUUUUUUUCCCUUUUAAAUGGCUCUCUAGCCUGAGUGUCAGUAGGGCAAGAUUGGCACUCACCACCUAGCCUGCAGAUAAGGGUUCUGUCCCCUUUUGCAGGACUCCAAAACACUACCUCCUCCCUCCUCCUAAUGUGGAUUCCUCUGGGGUCUGACGGGUCUGGGGCACUCCUUUAGGUGCCACUCAGGGAAAGGGAAGGGCCUCAGUAGCUCCCACUUCUUUCCCAGCCCACAUAUGGAAGCAACCAGCACCCACGCAGGCUCUGGUACUUGCCAAGGUCACUGUCUCUUCCACCUUCAGAAUUCUCUCUUUCUUUCCACUCCACACCCCCAGGACCCUACCCUGGCACAGGAGGAGGGAUGUGGCAUGGCUCAGAGUGCUAGAGUAGCCCUGGCUUCAGAAUUAGAAAGGCACGAUGAAGGGAGCCAUGGCCACCAUGCUAAGAGAGUGGAGCCCUUGCUGGAGGGACAGUCCCAGGCUGCCAGCUGGAAGGAACUCCUUGAAUAUUUCCUCAUUGUUGGAGUAUCAGAGGCCCAGAGAGGAAAAGUGACACAGUUGGGGUCACACAGCAAAGCUGGAUCUAGAACUCACUGCACUCUUGCCACUCCUACCUGUCAGGUUCCCCAAGAGCCAGAGACAGGAACUAAGGGAAAGACUAAUGUCCACAUGAGCUAGGUGCCUCAGCAGGAUCAGUGCCAGGAAGCCAAGCCUGGCAUUGCCAUCAGGGAUCCUGACAUUAGGCUCGGGGGGGGGUAUGACAGGAGAGGGGGUUGGACUGAGGGCCCAGCGUGAAGGAAGGAAUUGAUCAUACACUCCCCUGGAGUUCUCCUUCAUCUUCCAGGAGUCCAGGAGUAAAGAAAGGGACAAGCUGAAAGCUAAGAAAAGCCUUGCUAGUGAGAUGGCAAAAGGCAUCAGCACACUGGAGAAGGCCUUUGCUGGACUCCAGGGGCAAGGCCAGCAGCUUGGCAGUACUGAGUUGUUUCCAAUGGGCAGACUGCCGUGGGUCACAUUAAGAGGUUUAGUUAGCAGAUGGGGGUGAGGUUGAUCACUUCAGCCCUCCAUCUCCCACCCUGCACCAGUGCUCAGGCAAUGAAGUGUGGCUCUCCCUCCCAGAGCUCAUUCAAGUCCUCUUAAUACAUCAUCCAGCCUCCUGGGCUGACAAAUACUUAGUACUGGCAAAAAGCUGUUCAUCACAUCUCUACCCCCUGCCGUCCUGGACAAGGCCCUCAGGGACUGAUCUCUGAGGACUCUGGGCUGACCCCACUCCUGGCUGUCCCCCGUCAAAGGAUCUGUGCCCUGAGAGCCCCUGCUGAGGUGGUUGCGAUCACCCCCAGGCAGGUCAAGUGCCUGGCAAUGGAUUGGAUAAUAAUAGUGGUAAUGAUGGCAGUAAUGUGUGGCUUCUGCUGAGGGCCCUCCAUUCCUUCCUGGCCCCUUUGCUGGUAUCACAUCCAAGGUGGAGGAUCCCACCCCCAUCCCACCCCCAGGGGAAACAGGUGCUAUGCAUGGCUGCGUGGCUGAGUGCAGGCACCUGCUUCGGGCGCAUGCCUCUGGGUGUGCAGCACAAGUGUGGGAGUGUGUGACCUUCCUGGUCCAGAGACCUGCAACAAGGGCUUUCUAAAAGUGUUAAGAAGAAAAAUAACUCCAUGGGUCUAGGGAGAAUCAGCGCUAAGGAUUUUCGAGGGAGGAGGGAGAGUUAGAGGGAGGAAGUAAAAGCCAGA